CAGACCAAAUCAUUUUUCUCCGCAGUUUCAGUCGUCGUCUUUUUUAAGGUGGAACAAGUGGAAGUGACGCUCAAAGCUUUUUACACCAACCCUGAAGAAAAAGAAGACUUGAAGAAGAAGUUUCUGGAAACCUUCGGGACUGAAUGGCUGAUCGUGUCUGUGACCCACCUGAGGCCUCUGGGUUCAGAGGAAGGUUGAUCUCUUGCAAGCUUGCUGUGGGAACCGCAACAUGCGUGCUGAAAUGAACACGCAGCUGAGACCGUGGUUGAAUGUUUAGGGCGCCCUGUGUCCAUAAAAGUUGCUUUCUUCGCUCCCAGGGUGAAAACUUGUGCUGCAAGGACUGACCAGCCAAACUAACCCCACAAGCACAGGAACAGUUUUCCCACUGGUUGACAGAAAUUUUGCAUUUGAAUUAAAGGUUUUUCAUGUGUAUAUCA